CCCGGGCGCAGGGGCUGGAUCCGGGGCGGGGGACUGAGGGGUGCCUGGGAGACCGCGUCCCGGCUGCAGGCGCAGCUGCCCCUGCCCCAGCUACCCCAGAACCGUGGGAAAGGCGCUGCCGCGGGAGGGAGCGGGCGGGCUGGGGGCGCGGCAGGAAGGAAAGGCGUCCCAGCAGGAACUUCUCCUGAUUACACUGAUGCUGCAGGUCCUUGGCAGACCAGGUGGCGAGGCUCUGAGGCACUGGAGUCCAAAUGAGGCUGGAGUCCCAUUCUCAGAGAUUCUGGUCCUUGGGUGAGGUCUGGGAAUAUGCAAUAUUUUUAAAACACAGUGCCUCUGCAGUGGUAACUAGACAAGAUUGGGAAGUUUCAAGAUGAUUCAAACCUCCAGCACCUCACAGGAAUCCACAUUUCUUAA